GACGGAGGGUGCUAGCGUUGUUCGGAAUUACUGGGCGUAAAGGGCGCGUAGGCGGCGACUCAAGUUAGAUGUGAAAGUCCUGGCUUAACCUGGGGACUGCAUUUGAUACUGGGUUGCUUGAAUUCGGGAGAGGAGUAGCGGAAUUCCCAGUGUAGAGGUGAAAUUCGUAGAUAUUGGGAAGAACACCGGUGGCGAAGGCGGCUAUCUGGACCGACAUUGACGCUGAGGCGGCGAAAGCGUGGGGAGCAAACAGG
rnacentral:rRNA from 1 species